CACAAACACACAGGGUAAUUCUUCCUCCCGUUCCCUGAUGGCUCCAACCAGCAGCCUGGAGGUCUACGGGGAGAGCAUCAGCGCAUCGCUCCCACUGAAUGCUAAGCUGAAGUCCUGGAGGCGCGAUGGAAACGACAAGUGCUGAGGCACAGAAGGAGUUACAGUCAGAAAGGCAGAAUUAAUUCACUAUUUGCUCACGGGGGCUUCAAUUAAGGCAGCAUCUGCGCAAACACUGCUUUUAUCUGAAGAACCUCAUUCCCACACUGGAGACCAAAGCACCACAACAGGUUUCUUCAGCUUUCCUCUCACUUAGGAGAACAAUUUCAUCAAAACCAUCUUCCAGAGCCCCAGAAAUCAGAAGCUGACAAGCACUCCUCUCCCUCACUGCAGCCCUGGGUCUUCCUUCUGCUCACAGCUGGCCAGCAGAGCAGCGCUGGCACACAGAGGUGCCUUUGCAUCCCCUGUGCAUGCCAGCAAACAGUGUUCAGUCAGCUUAACUACUUGCAACAGGCUGCGGUGUUGUGCAUAACAUAUUUUCUUUUUCCAUUUUAUAACUCAAAAUAAAGCUUUUUUUAAAGCAUA